UACGGAGGGUGCAAGCGUUGUUCGGAAUUAUUGGGCGUAAAGAGCAUGUAGGCGGACUGCUAAGUCUGGUGUGAAAGCCCGGGGCUCAACCCCGGAAGUGCAUUGGAUACUGACAGUCUUGAGUAUGGGAGAGGAAAGUGGAAUUCCGAGUGUAGGAGUGAAAUCCGUAGAUAUUCGGAGGAACACCAGUGGCGAAGGCGGCUUUCUGGACCAAUACUGACGCUGAGAUGCGAAAGCGUGGGGAGCGAACAGG
rnacentral:rRNA from 1 species